AGAGUUUGAUCCUGGCUCAGGACGAACGCUGGCGGCGUGCCUAACACAUGCAAGUCGAGCGAAGUUAUUCCUUCGGGGAUAACUUAGCGGCGGACGGGUGAGUAACACGUGGGUAACCUGCCUUAUAGAGGGGGAUAGCCUUCCGAAAGGAAGAUUAAUACCGCAUAACAUUGAGCUUUCGCAUGGAAGCUUAAUCAAAG
rnacentral:rRNA from 1 species